rfam:Stegodyphus mimosarum contig87529, whole genome shotgun sequence.
GCCUUCGUGGUGUAGUGUUCUGCAUGCUCGACGGGUAACCGAGAGGUCCGUAGUUCGAUUCCUGGCGAAGGCG